UCUGAGGUAGGUAUGGGUGAGUAGCGUUUGCAAGGUCGGAGUGGGGGACGCAUGCAAUCCAUUGCAAUCCGCGGCCAUCCGUGCCGGUACCUGUCCCCUGCCCAGCUCCGGCAGUCCCUCGCAGCCCCUCCUGCUGCACUCGGCCUGUAUUGACAGGGUGUUUCCUCCGGGAGGGCAGCUUAGCCGCGAUCCUUGAACGGGAGCGCCCCGCUGCCUGGGGGAGUCCUUUGCUUGUGGCAGCCACGGCUCCAAACUGCCCUACCGGCCCCGGCAGAUUGUCACUGCCCCUGCAAGAGGGCCGGGGAGUGCGUAGCCGCUGACUGGGUUGGCCGGUCCCUGGUCCCCCAAACACGGGGUUCGCCCGCAGCCCAGCCGGGGUCUCACUGGUGCACGUGAUGACUAAACCUUUUUUCCCCAUCAGAGCGACAGUGUUGAUUUUGCUGUUCUAAGCCAGAUCGUGUCUGACGCACCAGUCCUGGAAGCCACCUUCGCGCUUUGCUCCCGCCGCGUUCAGCGGGACUAAAUCUUUUGUCUCUUCUGCGUCUCAGGUCCAGCAAGCGGCCGCGAUCAGCAUGGUUUGGGGAGCUGGCUUGGAGGCCGGGCGCUGGCCCGGGGUAGAGCCAGCCACAAGGGCCCGCUGCUCGGGUUGUGGAGCCCGCUGUUUGCCCUUUGCAUCCUGUGACACUCUUGGUGGAGGGACUAGUCCAUGGCAGCAAGGUGGAGCAACGUGAGUCUGGGAGACCUGGUCAAGGAAUCAAGGUGACAUAACCCAAAGCAAACUUGGAAUAGGCCAUUGCCCUGCUUUACAAGCCACUUGUGAGCCAGAUUACCAAGAGAGUGGGAAUUUUACGUCGGUAGACAUGAAGAUCUUGUAAAAAGGUUGAGUUAUCAGUGUCAGCAUGAAGCAGAAGUUGCCCUGUGAAGUAGCAAAAAGCUGUUAAUUGCAUACACUUGCCAAAGUGACAGCAAGAUAUUCCAAGACAAGGGUGCAGUAGCCACAUUGCAAUGGCACUACUUGGUCAAGCGUGGUGUGAAAAAUACCUGCCUCCUUAAGAGAUACCUGGGAGUUCUUGUAGUUUAGUCUCCAAGCUCACAAGCAGUUUCAUUGGAAGGGAUGACUAUCUCUAGUUCUUGACUACUUUUUGUUUGUGUCCAUAGUGGCAGUAUUCACCCCAUGUUGCUGAGUUCCACCCAGUGCUGUAAUGUGGAAGGUUCUAAGAUGGAAAUUCAUUAAAUGCUGAAGUUAAAUGGA